rnacentral:rRNA from 1 species
UACGUAGGGUGCAAGCGUUGUCCGGAAUUAUUGGGCGUAAAGAGCUCGUAGGCGGUGCGGUAAGUCAGCUGUGAAAUCUCCUGGCUCAACUGGGAGCUUGCAGGCGAAACUGCCGUGCUGGAGUGUGGGAGAGGUGAGUGGAAUUCCCGGUGUAGCGGUGAAAUGCGUAGAUAUCGGGAAGAACACCCGUGGCGAAGGCGGCUCUCUGGGACGGUACUGACGCUGAGACGCGAAAGCGUGGGGAGCGAACAGG